AGAAUCAAUCGAAAAUGUGGAAUUUGAGGAAUCCUACUUGGUUGGAAAAUGAAACGUGAAAAAGUGGAAAAAUUUCAGACAAAUCUGCCCUUCAUCAUAUCGUGCCCUAGGUUGCGUCCAUUGAUGAAACAUAUCCAUUUGUUGGACAUGAAGCAAAAGCUUAUCCUGUGAUACAGAAAGGGAGUUGCCUGAAACUUGGCUACCGGAGUUGGUCCUAGACAUUCGCCGAUGUGUUUAACGCAGAUUGUAGUACUCUUCCUCAGGUCCCCUCACUGAACAAGAAGACAUUUUUUGCGUUCGAAUAGUAACAAGUUGUAUUGCUAGGUUGGAUCUGUAACUGCCCACAACAUGUUUGAUAUAAGGUCUGAAGUGUGGAAAACUUGUGUCUUGUGUGGAGAACGUUUCAACGGAAGCUGUGGGUGUAUUAUGGGCUGAUGGGGUUGAUGAUUUAUCAAAGU